AUGUCUCUAGAAGAACAACGUAGUUGGAUGUACAGUGGGUGGAAUGAACAGGGCCACCAUUCUGAAGAGUGGGUGCGCAACACAACAACUUUUCUUGACCAUGCUUUUCAGAUUAUGCCUAAUGCUGACCGGUUUGGUGUGAAGUGCCCAUGCACAAAGUGUCGUAAUGGAGUCAAGCGGAAGAAACAACUAGUCAGAGUGCACCUUUGUCAGUAUGGUUUCAUGCCAAAUUACACCAGAUGGACAUCGCACGGCGAGCGUCCAAUAGUUGGUACAACCAGAAUGGAAGAGGAUACUCACACUAGUAAUGAACCGCUAGUUGAUAUGUUGGCUGACAUUAUUGGGGUUGAAACACAUUUUGAUGAUGUGGAGAGCGAGCCAACAUCAUAUGCUAAGGUGUACUACUGUAGUAAGUAUAAGUAG
rnacentral:rRNA from 1 species